UAAGUUGGAGCAUUUAAAUAAAAUGUAAUCCUCUUUGCCCCGUGUCAGCAUUUGGUUGGCUAUGAGAAGAUAACACUAUCUUUUUUCAACCACUCACACAUGGACACAUGUCCCACUCACCCUCUCUCUUCCUUUUCUCUUCCUUUUUCCUUUCUUUUCUUUUCUUUUUCUCUUCUUUUUCGGUGGACACCAGCAGCCCAUUCUCCUCGUCUUUUCCUUUUUCCUUUCUUUCCUCUCUUCUCUCACACUCACGCACAACUCCUCUUCUCUCUCCCUUUCUUCACACACACACGCACGUUGAGAGAGAGUUGGACCGAAAUGAGAGAGAGAGACCGAGAGAAAUCUGCAGAAAUUGAGGGAAAGCCCGAAAUGAGAGAUGCUGUCCGGCCAUGAGAGAAGAAGAAGAGAAGGAGAAGCAACGGUUCAUGGGUUCCGGCCAUGGGCCUUUGUGGGGAUAGUGUCCGGAUUGGAGACUUCAAUGGGUUCUCUAAUGUAGAGUUCGAGUCAUGAGUUUAAUGCAGCCCAGAUGAUGUUUCUUUGGCUGCAGAUAUUCCGGUCGUAGUUGAUGGUGUUGUAGUAGUAUACUUGGGAUAUUACGACUGAAGCUCGCCGCGACGGUUGUAAUUGUCGGACCAUGGGUUGUCCACUAUUUUAUAGGUACAUAUUAUGGGGUAUGUAAAUAUGUUGGCUUUGCGACAUAUCAUCGUGCCACUGUGAAGAUCCGUUUAUAUUUUAAGGGAUUAAUGAUUAUGUGGAUGUUUUGUAUAAAAAAAAAAAAAAAAAAAAAAAAAAAAAAAAAAAAAACGGGUCGUCACAACACGGUUGGCUAGGAGAGAGAUAACAUUAUCUCCUCCCAAGUACCCACAAGUGAACAAGUGUCCCACUCACUCUCUCUCUCUCUCUUCCCCUUUGUCUUUCUUUUUUCUCUCUCAUUUUUUCCCCUCUCACAAGACCUGAUGCAAACCAAGGAGCUGGACAUAUUGAUCAUACAUGUGGGAAUGGAGCUGAAGUUGCACAAGACCUUUUGUCACUUCCUAGUGGCCCAAUUACAAGACUUAGAGCCAAACGUUUCAAGGAAGCACUAAAUGGGCUAAUCCAAGAGAAUUGGGCUGAUUCUAAAAAGACCAAGAUGGGCUCAAAUAAUAAUCAAGGCUUAGUCCAUGUCAUCAAAGCAAUUGAAGAGGCUAAUUAGCAUGCAAAAACGUGACCAUCAAGGUUUGACCAUUAAAGGGUGUGAAUUUGUUGAGUUUCAAGAAUAUUAAAUAGGGGAAUGAACUUGGUCUUGGCUGGUUAUGUUAAAAUAUAUUGAACUUAGUCAUUUAGUUAUUUUGUGGGGACUUGUUUAUGUUGUUGUUUGUGUUGCUUUUAAAGCUGUAGUUAUGAAAUUUCCUAUUCUUGGAGGGUUGUUCCAAGUAUAUA